AACCAGCCAUGCCGCGUGCAGGAAGACGGCUCUAUGAGUUGUAAACUGCUUUUGUACAGGGAUAAUUGUGGGUACGCGUACUCACUUGAAGGUACUGUACGAAUAAGGAUCGGCUAACUCCGUGCCAGCAGCCGCGGUAAUACGGAGGAUCCAAGCGUUAUCCGGAUUUAUUGGGUUUAAAGGGUGCGUAGGCGGCACGGUAAGUUAGCGGUGAAAUCUCGGGGCUCAACCCCGGAACUGCCGUUAAAACUGCUGAGCUAGAGAGUAUAUGAGGUAGGCGGAAUGUGUAGUGUAGCGGUGAAAUGCUUAGAGAUUACACAGAACACCGAUUGCGAAGGCAGCUUACCAAUCUAUGUCUGACGUUGAGGCACGAAAGCGUGGGUAGCAAACAGGAUUAGAUACCCUGGUAGUCCACGCAGUAAACGAUGAUAGCUCGUUGUCGGCGAUACACAGUCGGUGACUUAGCGAAAGCGUUAAGCUAUCCACCUGGGGAGUACGUUCGCAAGAAUGAAACUCAAAGGAAUUGACGGGGGCCCGCACAAGCGGAGGAACAUGUGGUUUAAUUCGAUGAUACGCGAGGAACCUUACCCGGGCUUGAAAGUUAUUGACGGUGGUCGAAAGAUCACUUCCCUUCGGGGCAAGAAACUAGGUGCUGCAUGGUUGUCGUCAGCUCGUGCCGUGAGGUGUCGGAUUAAGUUCCAUAACGAGCGCAACCCUUGCCGUUAGUUGCCAUCAGGUGAUGCUGGGCACUCUAACGGGACUGCCGGUGUAAGCCGAGAGGAAGGUGGGGAUGACGUCAAAUCAGCACGGCCCUUACGUCCGGGGCGACACACGUGUUACAAUGGUCGGUACAGAGGGCAGCUACCCAGCGAUGGGAUGCGAAUCUCGAAAGCCGAUCUCAGUUCGGAUCGGAGGCUGAAACUCGCCUCCGUGAAGUUGGAUUCGCUAGUAAUCGCGCAUCA
rnacentral:rRNA from 1 species